rnacentral:rRNA from 1 species
AUUGAACGCUGGCGGCAUGCCUUACACAUGCAAGUCGAACGGUAACAGGUCUUCGGAUGCUGACGAGUGGCGAACGGGUGAGUAAUACAUCGGAACGUGCCUAGUAGUGGGGGAUAACUACUCGAAAGAGUGGCUAAUACCGCAUGAGAUCUGCGGAUGAAAGCAGGGGAUCGCAAGACCUUGUGCUACUAGAGCGGCCGAUGGCAGAUUAGGUAGUUGGUGGGAUAAAAGCUUACCAAGCCGACGAUCUGUAGCUGGUCUGACAGGACGAUCAGCCACACUGGGACUGAGACACGGCCCAGACUCCACGGGGGGCAGCAGUGGGGAAUUUUGGACAAUGGGCGAAAGCCUGAUCCAGCAAUGCCGCGUGCAGGAUGAAGGCCUUCGGGUUGUAAACUGCUUUUGUACGGAACGAAAAGCCCUGGGUUAAUACCCUGGGGUCAUGACGGUACCGUAAGAAUAAGCACCGGCUAACUACGUGCCAGCCGCCGCCGUAA